rnacentral:lncRNA from 1 species
CUAGAGGCCGGACGCGUGUGCGGCUUGCAACAUCAUCCUUAAGCCCAGAUCAGCGAGGUUAGAGCAUCUAACUUGCAAGGUAAUAGAUCUGAUCUAUUAUUUAAUACAUACAUUAGAUGUAGCUAGUAUAGAAACAUGUUGAUAUGAUCAACAUGUAGUUCAUACUAUAUUCAUAUAUAUUUUAAUUUUUGAUUUAAUGCUAUGU